rnacentral:rRNA from 1 species
AGGACGAACGCUGGCGGCGUGCUUAAUACAUGCAAGUCGAGCGAGAAGCCACUUCUCCGCAAGGAGAAGUGGUGGAAAGCGGCGAACGGGUGAGUAACACGUGGAUAACGUGCCCCAGACACUGGGAUAACAGCGGGAAACCGCUGCUAAUACCGGAUAACGCAUAACUGUCGCAUGACGGAUAUGCCAAAGCUCCGGCGGUCUGGGAUCGGUCCGCGGCCUAUCAGCUUGUUGGUGGGUAACGGCCUACCAAGGCAGUGACGGGUAGCUGGCGUGAGAGCGCGACCAGCCACACUGGGACUGAGACACGGCCCAGACUCCUACGGGAGCAGCAGUAGGAAUCUGCGCAAGUGGGCGAAAGCCUGACGCAGCGACGCCGCGUGAGCGAUGAAGGCCUUAGGGUUGUAAAGUCUCGUUUCAGCAGGACGAAAGUUGACGUACUGCGAAGAAGACGGUCCGACC